rnacentral:rRNA from 1 species
CACGUAGGGUGCGAGCGUUGUCCGGAAUUAUUGGGCGUAAAGAGCUCGUAGGCGGUGUGUCGCGUCGGCCGUGAAAACCUGCAGCUUAACUGUGGGCGUGCGGUCGAUACGGGCAUCACUGGAGUUCGGCAGGGGAGACUGGAAUUCCUGGUGUAGCGGUGAAAUGCGCAGAUAUCAGGAGGAACACCGGUGGCGAAGGCGGGAUCCUGGGCCAGUACUGACGCUGAGGAGCGAAAGCGUGGGGAGCAAGC